AGCAGGAGGUUAUAUAGGCGAAUUGUCGGACUGAUAACACACAUCCGUGAUUCGUGAAUUGUAUUGAACCAGUCACUGAGUCACUGAACUAUACCACACUGAAUCAAUUCAUUCCUUUCACCUAAAAGAGUCAACUUACUCAUGAACUACCCACCUCCAUUACAAACGUUUUGUUUUUUGUGUACCUAUGUCUUAUACUAUUGGCAUAUUUAAAAAUAGUUAACUGCCAUAUGUUUAGUAAAAUGUUGUAUUUAUUUUUUUUAUAUUAACUAUUAGUACUUAUACCGAUGUGUUUUAUUACUAAAAAAAAAUUAUAGUUAUAAAAGGAAAGUUUUUGUGUAUUUUUUUUAAAUCCCCUCUUGUCAGAUCAAGAUCGAAUGUACAUUACUCAGGUAUAUAACAUUGUCAUAUAAUACAAUCUUAUUUGUCUUAAGCAUAGGUAGUAUAAAUAUUUGAUUAUAAUGUAGAAAUAAUUAGAUGUUUUAUAUUAUAUUAAUAUACAUUUUAAAUAUUUGUAGUUGUUUACGGAUUACUUUAAAAAUAGUUAAUAAGCAAGACAAUUGUGUUUAUAUUUAUUAAAUUGGAUGUUUUACAUAAUAUACUAUUGUAAAUUAUAUGAAUUGUAUGAAAGGAAUUGCCAGAAAGUAUUAGUAUAUUAUAAUAUUAUUUAGUUGUUUCCCUAAAAUGCUUAUAUUACAUAAAAUAUAUUGUUGUUAAAGGUGUGAAAUGUUUAGAAAUAUUCUAGAAGUACUAAACAUGGUGCUGUAUUACCAAAAGUGCAGUGGGCAUUUUAAAAUUCAAGGAAAUACUUAAACCGAUAGUUCUAUAAUGGAAGAAGACUCUCAGUAUGUAUAUUUAUUUUUUAUCUUCUGUUUCAGCUUAACAAACAAUCAACAUAGCAAAUCACAUUACUCAGAACAUAAAUUAUGGAGUUUAGAUUUAAGAAAUUAGAAUUUAAACACAAAUAACAAAAUUUAACUAGAAGAAUACAUUUGAAAACUUUACGUUGCUUUUAUUUUUAAAAAAAUGUAAAUAAAAAAGUUAUAC